GGGUAUAUAGCUCAAGUGGUAGAGCACAUGCUUAGCGUGCACAACGUCCUGGGUUCAAUCCCCAGUACCCCCU
rnacentral:tRNA from 1 species